CGUAUGAACUUCAGGUCUGCCGUAGUUGAUGUUCUAUGUGGAGCUAAGCAUAAUUCUUUUAGGUUAUGUCGAGUGUCGCUAGAUGCUGCCAGCUCAGUUAAGCAAAAGCCUAUUUAAUUUUUUUUUAUAUUAAUACAUCAAAUGAUAAUGAGAUAGAAAAAAAGAGUCAUUUUGAAUUACUGUAUUAGAUUAGCACAAUUUUCUAUAGAAUUACAACAGAAGGGCAAGAAUGCCAAAAAUAACCACUUUCUAAAUCAUGGUACAAUAUGACAUGUAAUUGAUGAUUCUUUUUGUAUCCGUCUUAGUGUCACUUAUCAUACGAUACAGGGUUGUAUCGAUACGUACCAUCGCUUUUUAAAUUAUGAUACGAUACACCAUCUCUAUCACAAACAGGUAGUGUAUCAUAUGUGUAUCGCAUGUUUCGUUUAAUACACAACUUGUAUCGCACGAUACAGGCGAUACACUCUGUACCACACGAUACAUGUCUAUUUUGAAAAAUAUGGGGUUAAAUUACCUUUUUCAAACUAAUUUUUUAAACUUGUCUCCCUCUUCAUUUUUGAACAUAUCUAAUAGUUGAAGGAGGGAGAGAUUGUGGCAAUUUUCAAAAGGAAUAAUUAGUUUCACCAUGAAAUCGUCAAUUUGAGGACAGAUUUAUGCAUGGAUGAUUGAUUCUUAUUUAGAUAAAAAGGGUUAUGUCUUUUAUGAAAGAUGAAAAUGAGAAUGAGAUGAUAAAGAUUAUGAAUGAAGUUGUUUUCCUUUGUUAUUUGCAUUAACAUUGAACAAUUUUGUCCUGUGAUGUGAUGUAUAGUGUACGUAAAACUAGGUUUUUGAUGUGUUAUGGAUCUUAUGACUUACUUAUGAGUUAUUAUGUAGAUCAUCUUAUAAAUUAUGUUUCUUGAUGUCUUAGUUCAUGUUGUGUUACUAUAUGAUAUUAUGACCACUUGCUAAUGUUUGUGAAGUAACUUCAUGGUUAUAAUAAGCGUGCCAUUAUGUAUAACAUGUUUUUUCAUUUGAAAAAACAUAAUUUUUAUUUUUCUUGAUUUAUCUGAACUUUCUCUAUUUUUUUCCUUUUUUGAAUUAAAAAAAUAAAUUUAAGGUACACAUACAAUACAUUGCACUCACAAGAAGCUUGCAAGUCUACUUCUUUCUUUCUGCCUUUAUGUGGUCAUCCUGUCAAGAUGCUCUUUUUCUUCAAGUCUUUGUAAUUUAAAUGAAUGUUGCUAUUCUCUUAUUAAAUUUCUCAUAUUUCACUAUGAAAUUGGAAUGUAGACAACCUAUGUAACAUGGUUUUCAGGAUUUUGCAAAUGUUGGGGUGUGGUACUUGUGUCAAUUUGUUGGAGGUGCAAAAGAUGGGAAAAUGGCAGAGUUUUUUAAAGGUAAGAUAUAUAAGAAAUACCUGAAAUCAAACAUCAGUCUUUCUUUGUUACAUAUGGUGCUUUCAUCAAGUGCUUCUGACCAUAAACAAUCUGUAUGCCGGUUUUGCUCGACAAAUAUGUGCGCUUGGUCAGAUUCUGAUAUGCAGUUGGAUUGAGGGGGAAGUGUAAGAUCUUUUGGUGGGCCUGCAUAUGUCUAUGAGGAAUUUCGGACAUUAUGGUUGUCUUAAUGUAAAUAUCCGCUUAAGUGAUUGCAUUUCGGGAUAUUACGUCCUUUUAGAUGGUAUGAGGCAAUUUUAAAAUGUAUAGAUACUAGUAUGGAAUUACGGACUCUUUGAUGGGUGGAAUCUGUAAUUGUCCUUAUUAUAAAAUGGUAGUGGUCCCUGGGGUCGUGCAAUGGUUGCCUGAAACAUUGGUUUCUAGGGUUUUCCUCUUCCCCAUCUGAGAGAGACCUCAAGCACGCCGCACGUACCCUGGAAGACCCUGCUGCGAUCUUCCCGUGUAUCAGAUCAGAUGGAUUCAGGUACACUUCCACUUUAAGUUUAAGGUUUUGUUUAAUUCAAUGAUUUAGCAUGAGCAUGAUCCUGUUUUAAGGUAUAUACGUUUGGUUUUGUAUAUGCAUGAUGGGAGAAAUCCCAACAGGAAGGUCUUCCUCUUGUCUUACCUUGACAUCCGUCAGCAUCCAACACUUUUGAAACACCAACAGUGAAAACUGAAACUCCUUGACAUGCGAUGUGGCACUUCAUUUCUCCUAACAUGCAAAAUCGGAAUUGGAUGUCCAACACCUUGUGUCCUUGUAUACAAAGCAUCCAGAAAAGGAAUUGGAGGGCAAUUCUUGUCAAUUGUCAUAAAACCUCGCCCGAUACUGCAAUCUCAUUGAAAUUAGACAUAAAAGAAGAUUUUUUUAAAAAUAAGAAUCCUCUCUCUUUUAUAUAUAAAGACGUGUGUGUGUGUGUAUUAGUAAUUAUAUGUUGCUUUUGGAAUAGCUAUAUCCAAGCUGUGGUAACCAUAGGUUGUAUUAUUGCACUCAGACUGAUAGUCACUGGAUCUUGGAUCAUGGAUCCAUUGUCCUGAACUGGGAUUGGCUAUAAAUAAAGGGUUGGGGCUGCGAUUAGGGGCAUCACAAUGGUUUGAGUUGUGUGUCCUUCUGGGAGGGAUGCCCUAAUCUGUGAUUAGGGUUGUUAGCGUGUGAGUUUAGGGCUUUUCACAUUGUUGAAGCUGAACCCAGGUAGUGGUGUUUACCACAAACUGUUUCCACAUUCAGCAUGACUUAUCUGAUGAAAGUGAUGUACUAGACCUUUAGACAUAAAAACAUGAAUUUUCAAGUCUUAAAAAUUGGCACAUGGGAUUUUUCGUAUGUUCUUUCUUCUUUCUACCAUGGGAUUCCAUAGCCUCAAAAACUUUUCUCUGCACCUUUUAUAUUCUGAGACAUCCUGUUCUUUAUUCAAAGAAAGUAACUCCAAGGGCUAUCCUUUGAUUAGGCAGCAACUUGUAAUUGUGAGGGGUUUCUCUGGACAUGCAUGGCAGGUUAUUGCCAAUCUUUUCCUUUGCUUCCCCUUCCACCUGGGUCAGUGACUUUUCAUGUUUUGUAAUUCCCUUUUCACGAAAUAGUUCUUGACUCAUCUGGACAACUAAUGGAAGAGGGUUGGUGUGAUCAAUUUAUCAAGCAUGGAAUCCUUUAAGAGAUUUUUAAGUUCUAAUCCAUCCUUGUUGAUAAUGAUCAUGAGUCAUGUUUUCAACUUUUAAUCUCCAGAAGCUGCUCUCUCUCUCUCUCUCUCUCCAUGAUGCUGUGUGUGCGUGCAUAUAUAUAGUAUGUCUUGAUUGCGCUCUGUCAAUGUUCAGGGGCGGCCAAAAACUUCCACGCGUCUCCAGGGAUUCACAGAUGGUGUGAGUGCUAAGGGACUUCAAUAUACAGCUGAUACCAUAAAAUCAGGGACAGAUGAGAAGUCGAAAACAAAUGCAAUGCUUCAGAAUGGCAUUGAUGAAUCUGAAAAUAACUUCAAAGGCUUGACAAGGUUUCAGUCUUGCACUUUCCUCACAUCUUUUUUAAUGUUAUUGUCCACCAGAUAGUUUGUCUAAAAUGAGCAUUUAUCUAAGAUAAGAUUAUGUAGCACUGUCUUAUCCUUAGGCUGUAGCCCUGGCCCUGGGUUGGAGGUAAAAGUCGUAUAUGUGACUAGUAAGUGGUCUCUCUAGUUUGGAAGACUAAGCAUAACCAUGGUCUGAUUUUCCUGUUGCAACUUGUUCCAAGUUGCGCCUUAAGGUAAUAUUAUCAGACCUGAGACUCACUCUCAGAAAGAUGCAAAAGGGUGUGGCAUCAAUUGUUCUCGCACAUUGCACAUUUUUGAAAUGUCAUUUCAUUUUAAGCAUGGGUUAUCUACUGCUUUCAUGUCCAUGUAUCAUUAUAUGCCUGUACAGUUAUGGUUGAAGGUGCGAAAAGUAAUCAGUUAAAUGCAUGACGUGCUUCUCAGUUGAUGGUUUUAAGGAGAAGAAAAUGGUUUUCUAGUUGGUGGCAAGCAUAGGAGGUUAGGGAUUCCACAAAAUGGUGUUGGAACUUGGAGGGCCAAUAAGGACGGGCAGGGAACUGGAGCAGAACCUGUAAAAGGUUCAACGUUGAGUUUCUGAAUGAUCGUCAAGGAGCUUGAAUCACACUGUGGGAGUUCAACCAAGAGCCUUGCUUCAUUUAAUUAUUAUUGUCUUCAUUAAAUGAUGUAACCUGACAGCUUAAUGUUCUUAAAGGAACUAACUGUUGCUGUUUUGCUUAUGGAU